GCCAUGUCAAUGGAAAUACACAAUAACAUAUUGAAUACACAUGCUACAUAGAUACACUAGACAUUUGCAAGAUGGUCCCUCUAAAAUCAAACCUGCUGUGGCAUAUCGAGUUGAGACUUGAGAGAGUAUCUAUUCAAGCAACGAAAAUAGAGGGAAGUGACAAGUAAGGAAGACAAAUCGGGAAAUACAGAGAGAGAUGCUUAUCACAGAUAGGAUAAGAAGACAAAAAUAAAUUAAGC
rnacentral:lncRNA from 1 species